UUUAUUUUUUGGAAAUCAGUUAACGACUUUUAUUAUCAGUCACAUAAUUUCAUACAAAAUGAAACGUAGCUAAUGGACAAAAUUUCAUACAAAACAAA